GUGGGGAAUAUUGGACAAUGGGGGGAACCCUGAUCCAGCCAUGCCGCGUGUGUGAAGAAGGCCUUAUGGUUGUAAAGCACUUUAAGCGAGGAGGAGGCUACUUUGGUUAAUACCCAGAGAUAGUGGACGUUACUCGCAGAAUAAGCACCGGCUAACUCUGUGCCAGCAGCCGCGGUAAUACAGAGGGUGCGAGCGUUAAUCGGAUUUACUGGGCGUAAAGCGUACGUAGGCGGCUUUUUAAGUCGGAUGUGAAAUCCCUGAGCUUAACUUAGGAAUUGCAUUCGAUACUGGGAAGCUAGAGUAUGGGAGAGGAUGGUAGAAUUCCAGGUGUAGCGGUGAAAUGCGUAGAGAUCUGGAGGAAUACCGAUGGCGAAGGCAGCCAUCUGGCCUAAUACUGACGCUGAGGUACGAAAGCAUGGGGAGCAAACAGGAUUAGAAACCCUUGUAGUCC
rnacentral:rRNA from 1 species